UGUCUCUGUCUAUCAGAGGCUCUGCAGUGUAACCGCUGCGUCCCAAUAACAGCUGGUGGCAGCUGUUUUAACAAAGUGGAGACCUGCCAGAGACCUGAUGAGGUCUGUGCCUAUGUCAUCAACACAUUUCCCAGAUACUCGUACUUCAAAAGAUGCAUGAGGAGAGCUGAUGCCUUUGCUCUGAAGUCCAUUUCCAGCUAUAACGUCUUCACAUGUACUGAUGAUCGGUGCAACUGAUGAGGGAAACUUCUGCAUGAAAAUGUCGCAGUGAUAUCAGAAGACAUGGAGUCACUUUUAACCAUUGUUUUGUUUUCUUUUGACCGUCUGCUCUUUCAUUUCAAUAAAAAGGAUUGAAAGGAUAACAAAA